AUUGAAACAUCAGUUUCUGUACAUUCACCAAAGUUAAGCAACGUCAAGCCUGGUUAGUACCUUGAUGGGUGACCACUUAGGAAAACCAGGUGCUGUGA